GGCCCUGCUCUCACUGGAUGAGCAGAUCGCCUGUGACAGGGAGCAGCUCUUGUGAGGUCGGGGGCACCGUGGCACUCAGACCGAACAAAAGUCGGCACCAACCUCAUAAAGACAGAGAGCUGGAUGAGAAGGCUGGCGGGUGCUUCGGGCUGCUGUUCCUUUGACUUGCCUGGAGCGUCACUGAGGUUGUAAAUUCAUCUGGGCAGAGAUGAUCAUCAGACUCGGGCGAUUGACCCCUGGCUACUUCCGUCUCCUCCAGGGUCAGGUGUCGGGUGAGGUCCGGAUGCAGCCACACAGCGGUCUCAUGGAUCCCAUUGCCAUGACAAUGGCGGCGGUGGGGAUGUGCGUCAGCGUUUACAGCGCCAGGCAGCUGAAGCAAAGACACGCCUGACGUGAGCACCUGGGAUGGACAGUGUGUGAGCGACAGGAAGUUUGUGAAAGUGAAGAUGGAGUCUGAGGAAGUCGACACAGUGUUGGCGCAUGAGUCUGAUUUAGAAGGAAAUUGGUUUGGCAAAAGUCACAAUGCAGGAUCCAGCGAGAAGAUUCCGUCAUGAAUUUUCCUGCUUGCAUCUCCCACAUGUAUUUAGCUUAGCGAACGUACUGAUCACUUUUACUGAUCACUUUGACUGAUCACACUUACACAUGAUCUUAUUAUGAUACUGUUCCAUUUCAAUAACUACUGCAGUACUUCUUAAUUCAGGUGAAUUGAGUGUUCUUCCACACUGAAGUGAAGUGAAUGAAAUUACAAUAUUUCACAUCGAUUCUCUGACAUCUGAAAUAAAACGUGUUUUUUAUUAGUUUUAUGAUGUUCUUUAAGUAUGAGCCAAUAUUGAUUUCAGUGAUGACUUUUUGGGUCACUCUUCAUUGUAACUUUCCAAAAUAAUUGUACUUGAAUGGUCAGGUGUGAUGAAGAAAGAGCUGAGCCAAAAGGCAACACUCCCCAUUUCUACGUUCCCAUUCUCACCAAAGAUUUAGGUUGGAGAUUGGUUUACACCUCCACCAAGUCUGUGUUCAAAAUAGCUUGAAAAGUAGUGGAGUUAUGGAGUUAGUUUAUUGCUCUGGAGUCUCUUCACCGUCACAUAGAAAUCAAAUAAAACAUCUCCCGAUUUAAAAUCACUGAGUGCAUGAUGUAAUAAGAUUUACACAGAAGAAAAGGUGCAUCUUUGUUUUCGUUUUUGUACUAUGUUCUUGUUCUACAACACUGUGUGAACAGUGUUCUGAAAUGUGCUACAUAAAUAAAGUUUUAUUUGAAUUUAUCUUUGUCAGUUGGUCAGCAGUCCAGGCUUUACUCACUGGCACAAAUGACGGAGCUCGUUCCUGAUGUCAAGUGACAGAAAAACAUUUCCAGAAUCACUUAUGAGAUUUGUAUUUCACAGGCGCUUCAUUUUUAACGCUCAUGUCAACCAAACAAAUAACAGGAACGAUGACUUUUGACUGUUUGCGCUAAUGUCACGCAGUAACCCCACCCCCUUUAGUGACAUGCACUUGUGGCCAUCACCCAAAGGUCCUCUGGAGAGAGGCCCUCAGAGAUGAGGUGGCAGAGUUGAAGGGCCGGGGCUGUGUGGAUAAAGAUCUCUCUUGGAAUGGUAAU